GCCGCCAUUUUGUGCUUUCCUCAGGCGGCACUGAGCGGGGCGGGAGCUCCGGGCGGGUCGCGUGUGUCGGUGGGUCCGGGUCGGUUGUGGGCGGCUGCCGUGCUGGCCGGGGCUGCCUUCAGCCAGGAGAGGGGUGCGGGGGCUCCGCGAAGCCGUGUGGUGGCGGGCGGCGAGGGUUAUGUCCCUGUCCCGGCGGCGGAGCCCGGCCGUGUGUGAGGCGCGGUCCUGGGCUUGCUGCUGCCUCGGUGCAGCCCCUGGGGGGCUCUGUUUAAAGGAUAUAGACUAAAAGAAAGAGAGAGACAGUUUAAAGGAUAGGGGUGGCACUGGGCUUUGGGGGCGUUGGGUCACACCUGGUGCUUCGCGUGAGGCGUGCAGCGAUAGGUUUCUGAGCUUAAAGGCGUAAUUGCUGGCGUUGUUUUAUAAACGCCAUAAGCUUUUCACUUGAAAGAUGAGCGAGUGUUGCGCUCUUGUGAUUCUGCCUCGGGUUUGGUCACCAAACGCAGCCGAUCUGACACCAGAUGGCAUCACGCUGAGGCCGGAGCUGUGCAGUUGAGGCUGGUGCCCGCUGGCCGAGCACGCCUUGCAGGAGCGCGCACGUGGCUUGUGGGUGUAAAAUGGGUCUAAUUAGUGCGCUCGGCACCUGGCAGGCUGUGCCGGCUGCUUUAUCUUCUGGUUCAUCGAGUCUUCAAAGCAGUAACAAAUUAGACAUCUCAAGAGACUUCUUUUUUGCAGAUAAGUCACUUUCAUUGGCAAGCGCAUGCCCUAAUUCUGAAGAUAAAUCACCCGUUUUCCCGCUGGGGAAUUUGGCUGGUGACCCUGACCAUGCCCUUUUUGGAUUGUAGGUACGGAUCCCAAAUGGUCAGAGAACAGGGACAGCCCCAGGGCUAUAGCAUGAGUACUGACCUUGGGUUCAAUCUAUAGGAAAACCUAUGGUGUCAGUAUGUUCCCCAGAGCAGGGCAAACAAAGUAGGGUUAAAGGCUGUCCUGCUGUACCUGGUGGGGUUCUCAUCUCCCCAGUGAUGAACGUUCAUUAGGAGCAGCUUAAUCCUACAGUCACUCUUUGUUCUGGAACUUCUUAGGUAAGGUGCUAUCUGUUCAAACUUAAUCUCAGCUGAUGCUGUCUGCUUUUCUCCCCAGGUAAUGAUAAAGCCAACAAUGCUUUCACUAGGUCAGCAGGUAGAUUGGUAUUUUUUUGACUGGCUUACUUUUCCUGGGGAAAUGCUGGUGCCUUCUGCUAGUGGCUCAGAGUGGAGUUCUCAUAAAUAAAACCUCUUUUGUUCAUUUGUUUCUUUUACUUGCUUUAGGCAGCAAAAGAAUUUCAGAGAUGAAUUGGUUUCUGGCUUUGGGAAUCUUCAGUCUGGACUGUGCUGUGCUGCUAUCAUGCAAGCAGAAAGAUGUCACGUGAAUUCUGGAGCUACAGAACUGAAUUUUGCCUUUGUACAAACUAUUUGAUCUCUGGGACAUGGACCAGUAGGCCUCUCUUUCUCCUUCAAAUGCUGUCAGCAUGAAUAUUGGAAGGCGCUAUCAGAUGACCUCUGGUGUCCUCAAGCUGUGUGUGUACGUACAGCCAGCAGCAGACUCUGCUGACUCCCAGAAGUGUGGCUGUUGAAGACGAUCAAAAACAGUCUGAAGUGUGGAUUUCUAAUGCACUUGGAAAUGCUGUUGUGGCCCUUGUUGCUUCUCAGAAAUGCUGCUUGCUUCAAAGACUGAGUUCAGGUGAAAAUGUGAAUAAUACCUGAAUGGAGUUCAGGUGGGAGUGUGACUCUAGGAGGAGAGGUAGCCCUGCAGACACUGUUAGAACUCAGCAUUGGCAGUUGAGUGCACUCAGAAUGAUCAAAUUUGGAUAAAGCAAGUGUUAAAAGAUGUAGGAGAACUUGUGUGUUACCUUGUCUAAGUGUUUAUAAUGUUAACAGUGGCAACUGUUAUGCUCAUUUUCAGUGCAGUGUUUGCGUAAAUAAAAUCCUGAAUUUGUGUUUUCA